GGGCCGUUAGCUCAGUUGGUAGAGCACCGGACUUUUAAUCCGUGUGUCGUAGGUUCGAUUCCUACACGGCCCACCA
rnacentral:tRNA from 1 species